CAGUCUGUGACUUUUUUUUUUUUUUUUUUUUUUUUUUUUUGAGACAGAGUAUGCUAGGAUUACAGGCGUAAGCCACUGCACCUGGCCAACUGAAUACAAUAUUUAAAGAAGUUCUACUGUGGGUAAAAUACUACCAAACAACAGCACAUGGUACAGAGAAAUAUUUCAGGAAAGAAAGAGUCAAUCAAUGAGGCAAACUUCACUGUUGUCUUAUUUUUAGGAACUACUACAGCCACCCCAACCUUGAGCAACCAUCACUCUGAUCAAUCAGCAGCCAUCAACAUUGAGACAAGACUCUCCACCAGCAAAAAGAUUAUGACUUGUCCGGGUGCGGUGGCUCACACCUGUAAUCCCAGCACUUUGGGAGGCUGAGGCAGACAGAUCAUCUGAGGUCAGGAGUUCGAGACCAGCCUGACCAACAUUGUGAAACCUGUCUCUACUAAAAAUACAAAAAAUUAGCCGGGCAUGGUGGUAGGCACCUAUAAUCUCAGCUAUUUGUAAGGCUGAAGCAGGAGAAUUGCUUGAACCUGGGAGGUGGAGGUUGCAGUGAGCCGAGAUCACAUCAUUGCACUCCAGCCUGGGCAACAAGAGCAAAACUCCGUCUAAAAAAAAUAUAUAUAUAUAUAUGACUCACUGAAGGCCCAC
rnacentral:lncRNA from 10 species